rnacentral:pre_miRNA from 1 species
UCGACUUUCUUGAAGAUCCUCGUACUGGUGGCGCCAUCCCGUCGCGGAGUGUGGAGCCUUCUUCUGUCGUCGAG